UUUGCCAAUUUUCAAAGAAAUUCUUCAUUCUCAGCGGCAACCAUGAGCGGCCAUGGAACCCUCGCCCUUUCUUCCUCAUCAUCAUCCAAUCUCCUUCAAUUUCUCAUACAAGUAUCGGAACCCUUGAGGGAAUCAAUUUCCGCAACUUCGUACGCCCCGCCGCCUGCCCACGCCAAUGUCUCCGUCAAAUCCCUGCUCCUAUCUCUCCUCCCGGACCCCUCCGUUCCCGAUCAACAGCUCCAAACCAAAAUUAAAGACUUCGCUCUCUGCUGCGCGGCGCUGGCUUCUUCUUCUUCCUCCCCAAACUUCCCCAGCCAGCAUCUCUCGUGGGUCCCUGAGUCGCUCUCCGACUGCGCCGUUUCUGCGUGGAAAGACUUUACAACGGCUUAUUAUGACGAUGCCAUGCGCUCGAAGUGUUCGACGCAAGUCCUCGGCGAACUGGAGUUGGAUUUGAGGGAGGUGUCGGAUUGUGAAAAGAAGCUGGCAAUUGAGUUGAUGCCAGAGGUCUUGCCUCUGCUCAAGAGUAGCAUAAAGGAGAGCGCCAUUGGCCCCGACGAAGAGAGUGGCGCAGUUUCAGCUGCCAGCGCCAGGGUUCCUGUGGCUUAUGCCAUUUUGGCUGCCUAUCAGUUCAGAUGGUUUGUUACCCAGGUGGGAGCUCCACAAUUAGGGAAAUUGUGUCCUUUGGUGAUUCCAUGUGCUUUGACAGCAUUAGACCACUGGUCUCCAGAAGUAAAAGGCCAAGGUAUGAUAAGCUUUAUAUGUCUUGGAAAAAAUGUUAGUGCUGCCGAGAUUGGUGGAUAUGCGGACGCAAUUCUGGACGCUUGCUGCCAAAAUAUUGCUUGUGACGAUGAGAUAUGGCAGUAUGUGGUGGAGAUGUCUGUGCUGCUUGUCACUUUAACACAGCAAUGUAAUCCUCGUAGUCCAUGGUAUGAGAAGAUACUCAAUGAAAUGCUAAAUCAUUUAGAAAGGCAGCCUAGAAACAAGCAGCGGCGCAUUGCCUGGCUGACGCAUUGCGAUUUACUUUUUAAUGGUCUUGGUCUCGUACUGCUAGCUCAUUUUAGGCGUCUGUUCCCACUUUUCUUCAAGUGGAUCCAUGCUGAUGAUGAUCAGACAGUUUUGCUGGUUCUCAAACGGAUGACUACUGUUGCAAGGCUCACGUGGAUUAGGAAUUCUCCAUUUAUUGAAAGAUUGGUGGAUGAGCUUGUUGUUCUGUACAAGGAUUCAGCUUUGAAAAUUGCUUGUGAAGAUAUUAGAUCGCUUAUUCUUCCUUUGUUAAACACGAUCCGUGUGUCCAAGCAGUCUCAGUUCGACGCCACUUGGGCCAAAUAUAAGGAUGACCCGAACCUGACGGCUCUUUCACAGCCCUUAGCUAGAAGAGAUCUGGAAAUGGUUGGCUGAGAUUGAAAUGGUGAUGGUGCAGUUUUGAACUCAAUUUCAGCUUCAGUCUCGCAGUGAUUUAUGAAUUUGAAGGUUGAAUCAUUGUGGGGGGUACUUAUUGGGCUUGAACAACGGUUUUGUGGAUAUGCGAUGUUCAACCAAACUCCUACAUAAGGUCUGGUAUCCCGUGGUAAUCCUACGCAAAAGAAUCUUGGUAUUCCCGGAUCAAUGUUGUCAAUCGCUAUUCUGUUCCGGAGGUAACACUGAAUUGAUCCACAUCACCCGGGGGCCGAAUCGUCGCCAAAGUCGAUUUCUUCUAAAGGAUCCUGAAUCUCAAACGGUGGAAUAGCCUUUCAGAUGGGAGAUGAAAGCUCUUCUUCAUUCUGAUCCCUUGGGGGAGGCGGAAAAUGUGAGGAAUCGGUCUGUCUCUUGAGAAUAUGCAUCGGGACAGAUUCAGGUCCCCAAUAGUGCUGCAUGUCUCGCGAAUCUGUCUCUCCAGGUUCCGUAACACUUCCCAAUCCUUAUUCAUUACGAACAAAUGGCAAACAGGCCAUGCGUUGGCCUCCGUAUAGAUUUCAAAUGCUUUCAUAGUGAAAUUGCAGUCCAAGUCUUUAAGAACUCCUUGGGCAAGAAGCCGACAAUAUUUACUCGAAAAUCCCUUUCGUAGCGUAGCGCCCGUUCUAAGUCCCGAUCAUUUGCAAUGAUAUCCAGACUCUCAAUCGAUGUCUUAUCAUCUAUCCUCCAUUGCUACCGUGAUUGGCUUAUCCUCCGAAAUAGUUGCUACUGGUAUCUUCGGAGGUACCUACUGGCCCAACUCAUUCAUGUCCUCCGGGACAACCUAUUUCAGCCUCCAUAAUCGCCGCGUUCUCCUCCGGGGGCAACUCCUCCACCUUUUGUGUGACUCCACUAGUAACAAUUUGUUGUCGACCUUCCUGGGGGUAGCCACUUUGCUGUUCGGAGUUGACACCACCGUCUCUGCUGUUGAGUCCUAUUGAAGGACGGAUUCCUCAUCUUUCGAUUGUCGGUCUAGCACCCGUUCUCCAGGGAUUGUCAAGGUCGUUUUGUGGCAUUAGGAGUUAUCAACACUAGCUCCCGUUCUCCAGGGGUUGUCAAGGUCGUUUUGUGGCAUUACGAGUUAUCAACACUUAGAUCAACCUAAACAUGAUGUUGAUUAGUCUUAAUCACUAAGCUAAUCAAGGCUAAUUAUAUACAUUCAAAACUUCUGAUUUAUUUUUAAAAUAUUUAAUAUUAAUUGUAAUUAAAGGGGCCUUUGGGGUUUUUGUAAUAGAUUAAGAAAUAAUAGUAUUUCAUUAGUUAGUGGAAGUGUGUAAGAGGUUUUGAUA